CCCCGAGAACAAACCCUGACGUCGCCCUCUGCGGAGGACAAAACCCCUUCUGGGGCCAGCUGGGACUUGGGGGUGGCGGGGCAGGGGGGCAGCAGUUUCAAGCGUCCCCGUACACUUUGUCCAGCAAGUCCUCUUAAGACCAGUGCAGAACGUAAACUAUGCGCAUCCUGGAGGAGGUUAGAGACCGUGAGCCCUGCAGAAAGCACGUGCGGUCAGUCCCGCGCUUCAGAACCUAGGCAUGGAGCAGGAAGACAGGAAUGUGAGUGCUGACCAGGGUAACGCACGUGGUGGUUCAUAAAUCUGCAAAAUCGCAGUGAUCAGCAAGAUGCAAAGAAGGUAAAGAGGAAGAGAGAGAAUGGGCACACCAAGGCCUCUAGCCAUCGCUAGAUGGGUUCUGGGAAAUCAGUCCUGGGCGGUUAGACUUGGAAGGGUCUCACCAUGUACACAUAAGGUUUGAACUUGGGCUCCUCUAGCCUUGCCUCCCAAAUGCUGGGACCAUUGGCUUGCCCAGCACUGCACAGCUUGAUUAUAUUUUCUAACAUGGACGGUGACUAGAUACAAGACUGCAUAUCAAAGAAUAACUUCAUUUCUGGUUAGUGGCUAUAACCACAAAUGAGCAAUGGUGACUUAUUAGCAAGAGCAUGGCAGGUAACUUUCCUUCUGCAUAUACUUUUGUUAUUUCAGUUAAGAAAUAACAAAAUAUAUUGUCAUCAAUAUGAUACUUUGUAUAAGAAUAAUGAAUAAUGUCAUCUAAUUUUGCAGAAGAGGGGGCAGAAAGACUGUUAGAGCCACAAGUUGGGGCAUUUUGCACAGAGACAUUGCCUCUCCCCCAUAACUGACUGCU